rnacentral:rRNA from 1 species
AGUGAACGCUGGCGGUAGGCCUAACACAUGCAAGUCGAACGGCAGCACAGUAAGAGCUUGCUCUUACGGGUGGCGAGUGGCGGACGGGUGAGGAAUACAUCGGAAUCUACUUUUUCGUGGGGGAUAACGUAGGGAAACUUACGCUAAUACCGCAUACGACCUACGGGUGAAAGCAGGGGAUCUUCGGACCUUGAGCGAUUGAAUGAGCCGAUGUCGGAUUAGCUAGUUGGCGGGGUAAAGGCCCACCAAGGCGACGAUCCGUAGCUGGCCUGAGAGGAUGAUCAGCCACACUGGAACUGAGACACGGUCCAGACUCCUACGGGAGGCAGCAGUGGGGAAUAUUGGACAAUGGGCGCAAGCCUGAUCCAGCCAUACCGCGUGGGUGAAGAAGGCCUUCGGGUUGUAAAGCCCUUUUGUUGGGAAAGAAAAGCAGCAGGUUAAUACCCCGCUGUUCUGACGGUACCCAAAGAAUAAGCACCGGCUAACUUCGUG